rnacentral:rRNA from 1 species
AUUGAACGCUGGCGGCAGGCCUAACACAUGCAAGUCGAGCGGAUGAAGGGAGCUUGCUCCUGGAUUCAGCGGCGGACGGGUGAGUAAUGCCUAGGAAUCUGCCUGGUAGUGGGGGAUAACGUCCGGAAACGGGCGCUAAUACCGCAUACGUCCUGAGGGAGAAAGUGGGGAUCUUCGGACCUCACGCUAUCAGAUGAGCCUAGGUCGGAUUAGCUAGUUGGUGGGGUAAAGGCCCACCAAGGCGACGAUCCGUAACUGGUCUGAGAGGAUGAUCAGUCACACUGGAACUGAGACACGGUCCAGACUCCUACGGGAGGCAGCAGUGGGGAAUAUUGGACAAUGGGCGAAAGCCUGAUCCAGCCAUGCCGCGUGUGUGAAGAAGGUCUUCGGAUUGUAAAGCACUUUAAGUUGGGAGGAAGGGCAGUAAGUUAAUACCUUGCUGUUUUGACGUUACCAACAGAAUAAGCACCGGCUAACUUCGUG